rnacentral:rRNA from 1 species
UUGAACGCUGGCGGCAGGCUUAACACAUGCAAGUCGAGCGGAGAUGAGGUGCUUGCACCUUAUCUUAGCGGCGGACGGGUGAGUAAUGCUUAGGAAUCUGCCAUUUAGUGGGGGACAACAUUCCGAAAGGAAUGCUAAUACCGCAUACGUCCUACGGGAGAAAGCAGGGGAUCUUCGGACCUUGCGCUAAAUGAUGAGCCUAAGUCGGAUUAGCUAGUUGGUGGGGUAAAGGCCUACCAAGGCGACGAUCUGUAGCGGGUCUGAGAGGAUGAUCCGCCACACUGGGACUGAGACACGGCCCAGACUCCUACGGGAGGCAGCAGUGGGGAAUAUUGGACAAUGGGCGGAAGCCUGAUCCAGCCAUGCCGCGUGUGUGAAGAAGGCCUUUUGGUUGUAAAGCACUUUAAGCGAGGAGGAGGCUACCUGGAUUAAUACUCUGGGAUAGUGGACGUUACUCGCAGAAUAAGCACCGGCUAACUCUGUGCCAGCAGCCGCGGUAAUACAGAGGGUGCGAGCGUUAAUCGGAUUUACUGGGCGUAAAGCGUGCGUAGGCGGCUGAUUAAGUCGGAUGUGAAAUCCCUGAGCUUAACUUAGGAAUUGCAUUCGAUACUGGUCAGCUAGAGUAUGGGAGA